AACAGACUCAGAGGCCCAGUUAUAGUGGUGAGUUGUAUCUCCAGACUCCAGUGGUGUUUUAACAUGUAUUUGUUUUAAACAUGAGCUGGUUAAAAAGAGCUGGUUAAAAAGGAGGGAGACCAUGUUUCUUCACUCACUGGUACAGUAACGUUUGGGAAUCUCUGUACUAUAGUGUACUACUGAUGUUAUACACUGCAGGUUAGGUUAAGGUUAGGAAAGAGGUUAGGGUUUGCGGAAAUGCUCUCCUAACCUGCUACAAAAAUCACUUCCGGUCGUAGCUGUAUCAAGUGUCAAAGAUGGCAACAUUCUCUAAUAACUACAUGUCUAAUUCUGUCAUGCUUCUCAAAGUUGAUAACUAGCUUAUUCAUUUUUUCUUCAGUGAUUAAAUUCAGUAAGAUAUCAUCAUUUACUAAUUGAAAGAAUUAUAUUUACAUGUACUAAAAUACAUGAUUUUAACAGGUCAGUUCAUCUCGAUACUUCAAAACUCCUAAGAACUUCACAAAUCCAGUGUGUGGGUCUUCCAGUGAGUUGGAGAGGAUUGAGGAACCAUGGCAUAGAUGGAAACCUUGAUAUGGACUAUAACUAUUGUAUUGGUGCAUGUAAGCAUUGGAUGCUGUAUUGCAUGUGGUAGAGCCGAGUACAGAAUAGGGGAUGAAUGUUGUCUCAUGUGUUGGCCAGGAUAUCAUGUGCAUAGUCAUUGUACUAAAUCUACAAGUAUACCUUCCUGUGUGCCCUGUAUUGACUCCACGUUCCUUGAUGAGCCCAGUGGUAAAACAACAUGCAACAACUGUACCACAUGUGAUCCAGGUUUGAAGGUAAAGCAGCCAUGUACACCUUCAUCAGACACUGUCUGUGGGACACUGGAGGGGUUCUACUGUCUAGACCCAACUAAGGAUGGUUGUAGAGCAGCCCAGAGACACAGCAGCUGUAAACCUGGUCAAUACAUCAGUCACACAGGAACAGCAUCUACAGAUACUGUGUGUGCUGACUGCCCUGGUGAUACUUAUUCAAAUGGAUCAUUUACAGCCUGCCAGCCACACACCGAGUAAGU